UACGUAGGGUGCAAGCGUUGUCCGGAAUUAUUGGGCGUAAAGAGCUCGUAGGCGGUUUGUCGCGUCGAAUGUGAAAACCCGGGGCUCGACCCCGGGCCUGCAUUCGAUACGGGCAGACUAGAGUUCGGUAGGGGAGUCUGGAAUUCCUGGUGUAGCGGUGAAAUGCGCAGAUAUCAGGAGGAACACCGGUGGCGAAGGCGGGACUCUGGGCCGAUACUGACGCUGAGGAGCGAAAGCGUGGGGAGCAAACAGG
rnacentral:rRNA from 1 species